rnacentral:misc_RNA from 1 species
AACGCACCUUGCACUUCUUGGUAUUCCGAGAAGUAUGCCUGUUUGAGUGUCAUGGAAUUCUCAACCUGCAUUGGCUUUUUUAUUUUUAUCUUUAAAAAGCAAUCCAAUGCAGUCUGGAUAAUUGGGAGCUGCUGAAUGCUUUUUAGAGCUUCAGCUCUCUUAAAAUAUAUUAGCAAAAUCGUUACUGAGCAUUGAUGGUAUAAUAAUUAUCUAUAUCAUUGAUCUGAGUGUUACUGUACGUUUUGCUUCUAAAGCCCAACAAAUGAUUACUUUUGACCUCAAAUCAGGUAGGAUUACCCGCUGAACUUAA